UUUGGUGGCGAUAGCGAAGAGGUCACACCCGUUCCCAUACCGAACACGGAAGUUAAGCUCUUCAGCGCCGAUGGUAGUCGGGGGUUUCCCCCUGUGAGAGUAGGACGCCGCCAAAG
rnacentral:rRNA from 1 species